rnacentral:lncRNA from 1 species
GGAGUGAUUAGCAUUUUUACACCUUUUGCAUUUAAAUCUACAAUCUUGCGUAUUGUGAUUUGAUUUCCCAAAAAUACGACAUUGGGAGGAAGACGUACCUUUUGAGAAAUUAUUUUUAACAAACCUUCCUUUGGGGCCUUGAUUUUUAUUUCCAAACUUCCUUUGUUGAAAGUUGCGAUUUUACUGGAAUUUAUUCUUUUGAUCUCCCUUCUCCGAUUCUCCAGCCUUUUCAUUUGAAAGAGUAACCUUUGAUUGAAAUGCCUGCUCC